UACGUAGGGUGCAAGCGUUAUCCGGAUUCACUGGGUUUAAAGGGUGCGUAGGCGGGUUGGUAAGUCCGUGGUGAAAUCUCCGAGCUUAACUCGGAAACUGCCGUGGAUACUAUCAAUCUUGAAUGUCGUGGAGGUAAGCGGAAUAUGUCAUGUAGCGGUGAAAUGCUUAGAUAUGACAUAGAACACCAAUUGCGUAGGCAGCUUACUACACGAUUAUUGACGCUGAGGCACGAAAGCGUGGGGAGCAAACAGG
rnacentral:rRNA from 1 species